UCUAGUUUCAACUUCCGUGCCACGGGCAGGGACACCUCGCACUAGACCAUGUUGCCCAAGGGUCUGUUCAGCUUCAGAACACCCUCAAGUCCUCCGAAGGGUUGUUCUGAAUCACUUCUUUUCAGUGUCCUGCUCCAGGCUGGGCUUGUCUGUCCCACGCUGGUGCAGAGCCUCUUGCUGUGGCUGGACUCCAGUUCAGUUAAACUGCAGGUGGCAGCUGCAGCUUUCUUUGAUGAGAUUCCUUGGAGCUAUGGGACUAGGAGGCCCUCUGAUUGAGGCAGGAACUAGAGAAGACCCUCUGCAAUACCUGGCUCCAGCCAACACCCAGGAGUUCAUUAAAGCUCAUCACUUUAAUGACACCUAA